rnacentral:siRNA from 1 species
UAUUUUCAGAAAUCUGCCAUUGAU